rnacentral:misc_RNA from 1 species
GAUGAAGAACGUAGCGAAAUGCGAUAAGUAGUGUGAAUUGCAGAAUUCAGUGAAUCAUCGAAUCUUUGAACGCACAUUGCGCCCCUUGGUAUUCCAUGGGGCAUGUCUGUUCGAGCGUCAUUUGUACCUUCAAGCUCUGCUUGGUGUUGGGUGUUUGUCUCGCCUUUGCGUGUAGACUCGCCUUAAAACCAUUGGCAGCCGGCGUAUUGAUUUCGGAGCGCAGUACAUCUCGCGCUUUGCACUCAGAACGACGACGUCCAAAAGUACAUUUUUACACUCUUGACCUCGGAUCAGGUAGGGAUACCCGCUGAACUUAAGCAUAUCAAUAAGCGGAGGA